rnacentral:misc_RNA from 1 species
AAUUACGAAGACGUAAAGAAACCAGCAACUUGUCGAGCGGUGAGGCAUAAAAUCACGCGCGCGCGAACAUACACAUACGUGUUUAGAUAUUUACCAAUGAAAGCAAAAUAUUCCCAGACUGAUUCCCUGUACUGGGAAAGGAUUUUUAUUUUCUGGGGUGGGAAGGAUUUAAGUGCUUAAAAUUAACCACAUUCUUCAGAUAGAUGUACUAUCUUAAAGAUGUUGGACAGUGAUGCAAAAAAAUCCACUAGGUAUAAAAUACCAUUCCUUAGCUACAAGAAACAUCAGCUUUCUGUUUUAAAAUGUUAUCAAUGAGAUUUUCAGAUGUUUUCUAAACAUUUCAAAAGUUUUAACUGAAAGCGAUAUUGCCUUUUCCAAUAUCUCUCAAAUGUUAAUCUGUAGAAAUGGUUCACCUUUCUGAGAAAAUGUCAGACAUGAUUGAAGAAGAUACCAAAUCUUCCAGUUAUUUGUCUUCCAACAAAAUGAUAUAUAUUGAGGUAGACUUAAACUCAGAUGGUUACAUGUGUAACCAGUUUAACCAGUAUGGUGAUGAAUUUAAAGAAUUAACAUUAAAUAUUGCUGAUACAGUAUCAUCUGAAUCCCAAUUAUUCCAAAAUGGCACUUCCAAUAUCAAUGUAACAGAACUGAAGUCCUGCAUACAUCAAAAUAACAUUUUGGACCAGGAAUUAAAUUCACAAGUAUAUAAAAAUUCCAAUUUAGACAAUGAAAUACCUACAAUGAAAUCGUACCCUCCAAAUCACAUUUUCCAAAAUAAAUUACACCAAAUUUCAUCAUCACAUGAAAAAUGUGUAUCAGACAUGAAAGAAAUUCCCAGAAAUAAAACUGAACUACUUCAAAAUAAUAUCAAAGCACCAAACGUGGAUUUUUGUGUCACAGAUAAUAAUAAGGAGGAAUGCUAUCAACCAAAGACAGUGUUUCUUACUGAUGAGAAUGAUGAAAAUUCAGUUGUCCUUGAUAUUUCAAGCAAAAAUGUAGUUGGUAUAAAUAAAAGCUUAUCUGAUAAAUAUGAAACUACUAAGACUAAUGUGGAAAUUAUUUCCAACCAAUCUAGUAAAAAACAAAAGGUUUCUGACAAUGCCAUUCUGUCUUCUUGUAUAAAUAAUAAUUGUUUCUUGUCAAAAGAAAUCAUAGAUAUCCCUUGUUCUCAGGACUCUUUUUCUCAAGACUCCUUUGAGGAUUAUUCUUCCUUAAGCUCUUUGUCAGUAAACUCAACAGAAUCUGAUACUAGUGAUCUUGCAGAGCAAUUUGGGAAUAUCCUAAAAAUAAGCAACAGAAAGAAAAUUGUGGAAGAUGAACCUUGGAAGCAUGUAGAAGAUUUCAAUGAAAUUACACUUGAUGAUAAUGGAAGUGAUGAAGAUGAUGAUGAUUAUGUCACAAAAGACAAUGACUUUUCUGAUAAAUUUUCAUUUUCACAACCUUUCUGGAAUUCUCGUGGACUAAAGCAUCUGCAAACUCCAGAAAUCCCCAAAGAUAAUAAAAACGGUCUGACACCUUGCAAACGACCAUUUGAUGAUGGUUGUAGAUGUAAUGAUAAUAACGGUUUCGAAAAUAGUUAUACUCCUUGUAGUGGUAUCAAAAGCACUCAUAAGAUUUUAUGUCCUGAUCCAUCACAAAUUACUUCAGAAAAAGGAAAGAAAACACCUCCCAAAAAGGAAAUAAUCACUAUGAACAACUCUGAAAAUUGUAAUAUAUCACCGUAUGUGACUGAAAAUUUAGAAGAGUUGAAAGCUGUGUAUGAAUGUCUGCAUAUUAAAUUUCCUUCUGAUGACAGCACUAUUUCUUCCCCUGUUCAUCCUGAAGCAUGUUCAGCAUUAAAUUCCCAGUCCAAUGGCUGUCAAAAGCAUUCCAUUUCUGACUCCAGUUUUAAAGUGUCAACUGAGCACUGCAAUAGUAAAAUUGCCAAAGAGAUGCCUUACGUGGAACAACCCCCAAAUUCCUAUCAGAAUCAAAUGCCUCACACACCUAAUCCUAAUUUAAUUUAUUUCCAAACACCAGUAAUCUCCUUCAUUUGUACAGCCUCACAAAAAAGAAAAAUUAACCAACAGCAAAUUGAUGGCUUGACUAAAGAGGACUUUCGGAAAAUUGGUGGGAGUGGCACUUGUCUUCAUGAAGCUGCAGAAAAUAAUAAUGUAUAUUUAUUGGAGGCUUUGCUAAAACAGUUGGAUAAGUUGCAGUUUAAACAACAUAUCAUUAACUUCAGAAACAAUUACGAACAGACUGCACUUCAUUUGGCUGUGAUAAAAAAUUUUCCAAGUAUGGUUCAUAUUUUAAUAAAACAUGGAGCUGACGUCAACAUAUUAGCAAAAAGCUGUCAGGAAGACAGUUCAAAAUUUGAAGCCCCUCUUCAUCUGGCUGCCUCCAAACUAAAAAGAACAUUAGUGAAAGAACUUUUAACAGCCAAAGACAUUGAUUUAGAUCUCAAGAACUCAGAUGGUCAGACUGCACUUCAUUGUGCCGUUCAAACUCCUCAUUCAACUGGGACAGACAAGACUUUCAUAAUCAGUAAACUCAUUAAAAUGAAUGCAAAUCCAUCAUGUAAGGAUAAAGAACAAGGCAAGAAUAUUUUGAUGUAUGCCAUAGAAUUUUGUGAUUAUGAUGUCAUUAGUGUUAUUCUGAAGACUGCAUCAUGGGAACAUAUUAAAAAAAUGCUGACAGAUAAAUCUGACAAAGGAGAGACCUGCUUGACUCUUGUAAAUGCUUUUGAUAAAGAUCAUGAAUCAUUUUCCAAACAAUGCAAAUUGGUGCAAACCUUGCAAGACUACCACAAAAAGGUAGUUGGAGAACUACAAGAUGUACAACCACAUCCAUUAUUGAGUGAGGAUAUAUAAUUUUUAUAUCCAGCAAGUUUUCCUGAAAGGAUUAGCAACAUAAGCAAAAUGAUUAUAAACUAGAUCAUGUGAUUACUUUUGGUAUCACACAAGGGAAAGUAAUGAUCAGAAAACUUUUAAAAAAAAAAUUAAUUUUUAUAUAUGCUUCCCAGAUCAGAUCAAUGUUAACUCACAAGAGAAUGUAUUCUCUAUAAAUGCAAGAUAUUUAUUCAGUGUAUUGAUCUCUAAAUAAAACAUGCCCUAGAUUUUAGAAGAUUUUCAGAGAAGAACAAGAGAACUCAAGUUUACUGUACAACAACAACAACAGAGUGCAAGACUAAAUGCUGUUAGGAUAUUACUUUUCAAGAAAAAUGUAUAGAAACAAUAAAUGCCUCAUGAUCAAAAACGUGAUUUCAUAAACCAACACAAUGAGAUACCCUUCAGCUACAUUGGAAGGGAGCAUUUGUGCAUAGGUUUAUUCUGAACUACUUAAGUACUUCAAAUGUAACAUAUCAUUGUAAUAACACCCCUAAAUAAAUGUCAAAUAAGCUGAUGAUAAAUUGAUUUCAAUUCUUAAAUUGAAUAAAAUAUUAAAUAUUUC